AUGGUGUUUUCCAAUUUCUUAUUUGCAUGGUUGCAUAUAGCACCUAGAUCAGGAAAGCAACACAAUCCUGAUGGGCUCCAUCUUUUUAAGGAAACCCAUUGUUACAAUCUGGCAGGAACUCAGGUCAUAUACCAGAAGAACUACUGCUGCUCUCAGCAGAAGGAAACAACAUGGACUGAAGCCACUUCCUGCUCCUGACUAACUGUAUGGACAUGGGCAAGCUGUGUGAUCUCUGUGAACCUCCUAGUCUUCAUUUCUAAAAUGGGUGAGGAUAACGACACCAAAAUGAUAGGAUUACGUUGAGAAUUACAAACAAUAAUAUAUAUUUUGUUAGCUGAUAGUGACUUAAGUUGAGCAUUCAACUUAUGAUUUAUGUAUUGUUAUGUCUAUUAAUAAUAUUAGUAACAAGUUUAUUUUCUUAUAAAAGAAUUUUAUAGAACAGUGUAAGCUUGCCCUGAAAGGUGCAACAGUUGAAAUAUUACUUUUAUUUUAAGUAAUGUAUUCAGUCCUCUCAAUACAUUGUUGAAAAGGUAGGAUAUUAACUAUCAUUUAUCCUAGAAGGAAACUUUUGUUAAUGAAUGUGUCAAUCUUGAUUUGGAGUCUUAAGAUUCCAAAUUAUACUGCUUAUUAAGAGAGGCCCCUGCUGCUGAGAAUUUACUUCUCUUAGGGACUUGUUUGAUUUGAAAUAAUAUAAUCCCACCACCAUAUUUGCAUGCUCUGGGCUUACCAUAGUAUUUUCCUUUUAGGAUCCCUUCUCAGUAAUCAGUUACUUGAAGGUCAUAGGAAUAGUACUCACCCCUGGAACUAGAAGCCCAUACCUAUUAGAUGUAUUCAACAUCUUCACUAUUCUUUAGAAAAUUCUUAAGCUUCUUUCAAUACAAAGUAUAUUUGAAUGCAAAAUUGAUGAGCAUGAAGUUUGUUUGGUUUUUCUAGUGAUAUGAAUUAUUUAUCAACUUUUAAAGGUCAAAGAUGUUUGUUUUCUGUUUCUUCCAAAAAUGGCAAUGUUCUCUACAGGAAAAGGAAGAAGACAUAUUUAGAAA
rnacentral:lncRNA from 1 species